rnacentral:sRNA from 1 species
UACCCAUCCCAUGCGGGAAGGAUGAGAAGCUUCGACUAAGGUUCGAUUCGAGCGGAGCGAAAAAGCGUUGCCGCAGGCAACGACCCGAAGGGCGAGGCGCAACGCGCCGAGUAAUCCUUCCCCCACCACCA